GACGAACGCUGGCGGCGUGCUCAACACAUGCAAGUCGAGCGGUAAGGCCCUUUCGGGGGUACGACGAGCGGCGAACGGGUGAGUAACACGUGGGUGACCUGCCCUCAGCUCUGGGAUAAGCCUGGGAAACCGGGUCUAUACCGGAUAUGACUCCAUGACGCAUGUUGUGGGGUGGAAAGCCUUGUGCGGCUGAGGAUGGGCCCGCGGCCUAUCAGCUUGUUGGUGGGGGU
rnacentral:rRNA from 1 species